rnacentral:rRNA from 1 species
GGUAUUGAAAUAAGAUUUUAAAUGAGUGCUAAGAGAAUGAUUAGACAAUUAAAAGCUUUCUUUAAUUAAAUAAUUAAAUUUAAUUUUUUUAGUGCAAAAGCAAAAAUGAAAUUUAGGGACAAGAAGACCCUAUGAAUUUUAUUGUUAAUGAUUUAAAUUUUAAUUAUUAACAAUUUAAUUGGGGUGAUAAAAAAAGAAUAAGUAUCUUUUUAAUUAUAAAAUAAGUUCCGUUUUUAGCGAUUAAAUGAAAUAAAUACUCUAGGGAUAACAGCGUAAUAAUUUUGGAUAGUUCAUAUAGAUAAAAUAGUUUGCGACCUCGAUGUUGGAUUAGGAUUCUUUUUUGGUGAAGAA